rnacentral:rRNA from 1 species
UCUGCCCCCCGGCCCGGGAUAGCCCCAGGGAAACCUGGAGUUAAUACCGGAUGAGACGGGACCCGCGAUGGCGGGACCCGGGAAAGGCGCUGCGGCGCCGCCGGGGGAUGAGUCUGCGUCCCAUUAGCUAGACGGCGGGGUAACGGCCCACCGUGGCGACGAUGGGUAGCCGGCCUGAGAGGGUGGACGGCCACAUUGGAACUGAGACACGGUCCAGACUCCUACGGGAGGCAGCAGCUAAGAAUCUUCCGCAAUGGGCGAAAGCCUGACGGAGCGAACCGCCGCGUGAACGAAGAAGGCCGUGAGGUUGUAAAGUUCUUUUCGGGAGGGGGAACAACCGUGGCAGGGAAUGGCCGCGGGAUGACGUGAAUCCCGGAAUAAGCCCCGGCUAACUACGUGCCAGCCGCCGC